rnacentral:tRNA from 1 species
UCCGCCCUGGUGUAAUGGCAGCACGCAGGCCUUUGGCGCCUUGCGGUCCGGGUUCGAAUCCUGGGGGCGGAGCCA